GUGGGGAAUCUUGUGCAAUGGGCGAAAGCCUGACGCAGCCAUGCCGCGUGAAUGAUGAAGGUCUUAGGAUUGUAAAAUUCUUUCACCGGGGACGAUAAUGACGGUACCCGGAGAAGAAGCCCCGGCUAACUUCGUGCCAGCAGCCGCGGUAAUACGAAGGGUGCUAGCGUUGCUCGGAAUUACUGGGCGUAAAGGGCGCGUAGGCGGACAGUUUAGUCAGAGGUGAAAGCCCAGGGCUCAACCUUGGAAUUGCCUUUGAUACUGGCUGUCUUGAGUACGGGAGAGGUGAGUGGAACUCCGAGUGUAGAGGUGAAAUUCGUAGAUAUUCGGAAGAACACCAGUGGCGAAGGCGACUCACUGGCCCGUUACUGACGCUGAGGCGCGAAAGCGUGGGGAGCAAACAGGAUUAGAUACCCUUGUAGUCC
rnacentral:rRNA from 1 species